GGGCGGUUAGCUCAGGGGUAGAGCACUACGUUGACAUCGUAGGGGUCACUGGUUCAAUCCCAGUACCGCCCACCA
rnacentral:tRNA from 1 species